rnacentral:lncRNA from 1 species
AUCAUUGAUAAUUUGUUCUCCUGCUUGUUUUUCUUCGUCUCACAUUUUGGUUCUGGUCACCCAGGUUGAGGAAACCUCACGAGAACGAGAAGAGAGACUGAAAACCUGGUCCUCUUUCCUGAGUGAUGAGAGUGCAUCUGCCAAAGCUAAAGCAGACUCUUCAAAAGCAGCUGAACAACAAAAUUCCAGCACACAAGAAACAGCAGAACAGACUCGACAGGAGGAACAUACAAACGAAAGCACUGCAGAACCGCAAGAGGGGAAAGAUGAGAAGGAUGAGAAGGAGCAUGACGAGGAUGAUGGAGAACAGAGUGUUAAAGCGCUCAGAGGACUGUAAAGAUCCUCCUCAGCUCUUUACAUACUAUCAAGGCGACAUCAACACUGCAGUGGAUGAGCACUUUUUCCGUGCCCUGAAUAAAGCAACCACACCAAAAGACCUCAGUACUAAAGCCAAGGACAGCAAUAGGACUCCCAAAUCUGAUGUACCAUCAUCAUCAUGGGCUUCUUCUGGCCUAACAUGGCCCAAGUCCACACACUCUUCCGGUUCCUCAAAGCUGACCCAAUUGACAUCCAUGGAACCUACACCUCCAUCCCAGGGAGUUAUUGUGAAUCCCUCAGUACUAUCAUCAUCAUCGUCAUCCCUCUGGCCAUGUCCAUCCAGACAGGGCACAGCAUUCGAACUGCCUCAAAUACUCUACCAACAGCCCAUAGCUGCUGAGAGCAGUGCCAACUCUUACCUGAACCUGUUACAAAUGGAUCGGCCAACAGGGGGCAUCAUGAUCUCGCCCUUCUCAAAAUCAGACACCAGACCAGAGUGGAAUACUGGGACGGCCUUUAAGGAUGGAAGCAGGAUCGGCCUAGAUUCAGGUGUGCCUGUCUCAGAAAUACCUAAGGAUUUGUACUGGUAUUGAAGAAGCGAUUUCUGGCUCUAUGAUCAAAAAUAUAUUUUCAGCACAAGACUGACUGUGUUUACAUUAUUAUGUAAGCUUAAGAAUUCUGUGCUUUUGGACAUCUGGCAUAGUGACUCAAAACAUUAUAUUCAUGGUAUCAGACAUUCCUCAGAGAUAAAUGGCAGUUAAUUACUUAUUUUAGCCGUGAGCAUGUGAAGAAUCUUGUAGUAGGACAUAAGAUAAUACCUGAUUGAAAAUAAUUAACUUCUCUUAACUAUUUAAUGGGUGAAUGAGGAAGUAACGUCUAUUUGUAUGAUUUGUAAUACAAUUAUAGUUUUACAAAACCUACUUUACACUUUUUCCCUCAAGCAGUGAUGUAUUUCCCUGUCACAAGCCCUCACUUUUGAUGUAUGAGUAUGACAAAACAGCUAAAGUCUUUGCACAAAACAGCUAAAGGCUUUGAUGAAUUUCCUCAAUUAUUUUCAAGAAUAGUAUAAAGAAGUCUAUUUUCAGUAUGAAUAGAGAGGUGAUCUGUUUAAUAAAUCCUACAUGAAAAUUGUCCUUUUGUUCAUACUUUACACAUUUAGACAUUUUCAGCAGGUCUGCAGUUAUACAUUUUUCUUUUUUGUGUUUUUAUUUAUCCACCUUAUUUUUCCCGUAAGAACGGCCAUUUGUACAUUUUAUGGGUCUGGCGUCUGGUGUCAUUCGCUUCCAGCUACAAAACAGUUUGUUUUGCUGCUUGAUAUUGCAAAUCGGUGUGUCUUACCAUAUUAUUUUAAUGUACUAUCUUUAUUAUGAACACACUGGUUUGUAGUGCAAAGAGUUUUACUGUUUAUUCACAGAAAAUGGCUUACUUUCGCAUUGAAAAAUAAGGUGGAUACUUCAUAUUAAUUUCAUUUUUAUUUCACUUCCUUGACAGUCUGUUGUUCACUGGUAUGUUAGGUUUAGCUUUUUACCUUGUUUUUAAAAGACCACUACAAAAAAAUAAAGAAAAAAGUCUGCAUUCUGUAUCUUCUGAUCAAAGCAUAGAUUUGCAUUUAAAGGAGACAUUUCUUUGAGGAUAAAGACUCAACUAUACAUCAAGACUGCCCACACAUUUCUGCAAACUAACCUCACGUGCCUCUGUUUCAAAGUUCAGAAGUGAGAGACAAUGUCUGCUGAGCAACGAUGCCAAAAGGGGAUUCGUCUCCCGUUUCCUUUGGCUGCCCACAAACCUUAAAGCGGCAUAGCCUAACUAUGCACAGAGAGCCAUUAAAUGCAAUGUGUUUUAAAUAUAAAAUAAAUAUAAAUAUAAAAUAAAUACAUUAUAUUUUUUAAGAAAUAAAAAUGUAAUAUUUUUAUUAUAAUAAUUGAAUAUAAAUUUAAUAAUUACAAUAUAUGUUUGCCUGAUUGCUGCAUGUUGUUUCUUCAUGUGCGUUUGUCUUUACCAUCUUCCUCUCACAUCCCUAGAGUGUAUUUGUGAAUGAAGAUAAGAUUUGAGAUGUUCUCAGAGCAUUUACCCUAGUCCAAUAAAGAUUUAAAUGAAAGCUGAAUUAAAAGAUGUUUUCAUUUGGUUAAACUGUUAGCAGUGAUCUCAAGCAUGCUA